UACGUAGGGGGCAAGCGUUGUCCGGAAUCAUUGGGCGUAAAGCGCGUGUAGGCGGCUUGGUAAGUCCGCUCUGAAAGCCCGGGGCUCAACCCCGGGAGGCGGGUGGAUACUGUCAAGCUCGAGUCCGGAAGAGGCGAGUGGAAUUCCUGGUGUAGCGGUGAAAUGCGCAGAUAUCAGGAGGAACACCAAUGGCGAAGGCAGCUCGCUGGGACGUGACUGACGCUGAGACGCGAAAGCGUGGGGAGCUAACAGG
rnacentral:rRNA from 1 species